rnacentral:rRNA from 1 species
CAGCAGCCGCGGGAAUACGAAGGGUGCAAGCGUUACUCGGAAUUACUGGGCGUAAAGCGUGCGUAGGCGGUGAGUUAAGUCUGCUGUGAAAUCCCCGGGCUCAACCUGGGAAUGGCAAUGGAUACUGGCAAGCUAGAGUGUGUCAGAGGAUGGUGGAAUUCCCGGUGUAGCGGUGAAAUGCGUAGAGAUCGGGAGGAACAUCAGUGGCGAAGGCGGCCAUCUGGGACAACACUGACGCUGAGGCACGAAAGCGUGGGGAGCAAACAGGAUUAGAUACCCCAGUAGUCCCUGUCUCUUAUAC